CCUAUUGCAACUCAUCCUGCUCACACUGCAGAAGCUGCCUCUCAAAGUGGACCACCUCAAGCAGAACAACACAGCCAAGCUGGUGAAGCAGCUGAGCAAGAGUGCAGACACCGAAGAGCUGAGGAAGUUGGCGUCUGUGCUGGUAGAAGGCUGGAUGGCUACAAUCCGCUCCCAGAGUGUGUCGAGCAGCGGCAGCUCUC